rnacentral:rRNA from 1 species
CGUACACUCCUGCGGGAGGCAGCAGUGGGGAAUUUUGGACAAUGGGCGAAAGCCUGAUCCAGCAAUGCCGCGUGCAGGAUGAAGGCCUUCGGGUUGUAAACUGCUUUUGUACGGAACGAAAAAGCUCCUUCUAAUACAGGGGGCCCAUGACGGUACCGUAAGAAUAAGCACCGGCUAACUACGUGCCAGCAGCCGCGGUAAUACGUAGGGUGCGAGCGUUAAUCGGAAUUACUGGGCGUAAAGCGUGCGCAGGCGGUUAUGUAAGACAGAUGUGAAAUCCCCGGGCUCAACCUGGGAGCUGCAUUUGUGACUGCAUGGCUAGAGUACGGUAGAGGGGGAUGGAAUUCCGCGUGUAGCAGUGAAAUGCGUAGAUAUGCGGAGGAACACCGAUGGCGAAGGCAAUCCCCUGGACCUGUACUGACGCUCAUGCACGAAAGCGUGGGGAGCAAACAGGAUUAGAAACCCGGGUAGUCCCAUG